rnacentral:lncRNA from 1 species
UUUACAGACCGAGCCUCUUAGGUCGUAGAUAAGUAGUUGAGCCUUUCUUCAAACCAGGCAUUGAAACUUGUUGCUGCUCUUUUGCUCUCUUUUCCCUCUCCUUCUCCUUGCUUCUUCUUUCAGCCUCAGCCUGGACCAUCCUUAACUUUUCCAUUUCUUCCUCCAUGGCAGUUUUCUCUUCUUUCUGUUUCUUUUUAUGUUCCUGCAUUGA